rnacentral:lncRNA from 1 species
UCAAGAUGUAAAGCGGCUGGGUGCCCGUGUGCCCACCAAUGUUAUGCCUUUCAAACCUCAACUUCUUGCUCGGAGCCCGCUGAUCAGCCAGUUUUCGCUCGACUCCCACGACGAUUUACAUAUUAAAUCUAUACUUUUGGUCUGAGAUUCUCCAUAGAGAAAAUACUAGGAAUAAGAAAGGGCGGGAGCGUGGAUUGAAAACAUGAUAAUUAGUGGGGGCACUGAGCGAAAAGUCGAUAUUUACGUUAUAAAUCGGCACCCAAAAUUAGCGGAAAGACGGAAUGGCAUAUAUCAGCCACCAAAGAAUUUUGUUAAAAUGUCUGUUAGGUUCAAAAGACGCUCAUAUUUUAAUAUCUUAUUAAUUCAAGGAAUUUAUCAAUUAAUGAGUUCUUGUUUGGCUCUCUCAGGAAUUGAUGUGAGUCAUUCCGAUUUAAUAGCAGACAUGAGACGUAAUGACUAGUUCCAUUAACUACUGUUUAAUCCAACACCAGGCUGUUCUUGGUGGUGUUAUCUCUACCACACAUAACUAACCAGUCCGAUUCAUCUCUUUUCAGUUGUAGUUGCCUUAGAGCUGACGAUUUCUCCACAUUUCUGAAGACCUUUCUCUAGCUGUACUUGGUGAGCGUCAAAAAAAUACACACCUGUGCCAUGUUACAAAUAAUUAACAGAACAGAUUAUUUCAAGGCGCGGAGGCGUAUACUCAUUUUAGAGUUCACCUGUCAGGCCUGUAGAGAUGCUGAGGCUGCAGCAGUUUCAUCACCACACAGAGACAUCUCAGUUGCAGAGAUGCCUGUUUAAGAUGUCAGUCUGAGAACAAACAAGAUGACUGUGUUGGUGAGUAAAAACUGAUAGUAAAUUGUUUUAUUAAGCCAUCUUGUUGGAAUGGUUACAGUCAGUGUUUUAUAGCUGUUUAUAUCCCUGGUCUCAC